CCGGGAACCCCGAACAUCCCCUUUCUCUACUCUUUCCCUUUGGAGUCUAUAGAGGGAGAAGCAGAGCCUAAGGCUUCAUCAGUUUGAAUACUGGCUGGGGCUGGGCAAGUUAGUGGCUCAAAGUGUUGAAUCUGUCCCUAAAGCAGGGACAGAAAUGGAGGCUCAGGAGGUAGAGGUGGCAGUGGGCGUGCAGGAGAAGCUGUAGGUCAGGAGGUAGAGGUGGCAGUGGGCGUGCAGGAGAACUGUAGGUCAGAGUGGAGAGGUGGCAGUGGGCGUGCAGGAGAAGCUGUAGGUCAGGGGGUAGAGGUGGCAGUGGGCGUGCAGGAGAAGCUGUAGGUCGGAGAGGGUGCAGAGUGGAGAACAGAUGAGCUGGAGUCACACCAUGCCCUAUACCCAGCCAGAGGCCGAAGUGAGCCUGUCACGGUAAUGCCACUGCCUGCUUGAUUCCCUCCCAUGCCUAGCCUGGGUUCUUCAUGAUCCCUGAGGCCCUCUUUGAUGUCAUCCCGCUGCCUCAAAACCUGUGUGUGCUGGUGGCUCCCUCUGCUUUCCUUCCAGAUGACUCCUUCGCUUCAGCUCAAAUGUCACCUUUGGCUGUUAAAAUCCUUUCCGGAGGAAGUUGUAAACAAUGCCUACCCCUCCUCCCGAGGUCUCUGAUUCCACUCCAGGGAAGAUUGCUCUGGGGGAGCCAAUGAGUUUGUUGGGAUUACUUCCAGAGCAUAGGUGAGGGGUUAGUUACUUGAAUAUGAGUGCUGCCCACCAAAAGACCGCACUGAAAAGUCUUUACCCAGCAGGGGUGAUGGU
rnacentral:lncRNA from 1 species